rnacentral:rRNA from 1 species
GGGGAGCGAAGGGGGUAAAAUACCCCCGUAGUCCCAGGCGUAAACGAUUGGUGAUAGGUGAGGGGGGAAGUAUCAUUCAAGGCAACAGUUAGCACGUUAAUAUUAGCCACCUGGGGAGUACGACCGCAAGGUUGAAACUCAAGGGGAUGGGCGGAGGGCGGCACAAGCAGUGAAGCAUGUGGUUUAAUUCGAAGCAACGCGAGGAACCUUACCGGGGUAUGACAUCUGACGGACCUGGUAGAGAUACCGGGGUGCCCUUUAAGGGAGCGUCAAGACAGGUGGUGCAUGGUUGUCGUCAGCUCGAGUCGUGAGAUGUUGGGUUAAGUCCCGCAACGAGCGCAACCCUUGUGCCUAGUUGCCAGCGCGUAGAGGCGGGCACUCUAGGCAGACUGCCGCAGACAAUGCGGAGGAAGGUGGGGAUGACGUCAAAUCAUCAUGCCCUUUAUAUCCCGGGCUACACACGUGCUACAAUGGCCUGUACAGCGGGUAGCGAAGGAGCGAUCCGGAGCCAAUCCCUGAAAGCAGGUCUCAGUUUGGAUUGCAGGCUGCAACUCGCCUGCAUGAAGUCGGAAUUGCUAGUAAUCGCGGAUCAGCAUGCCGCGGUGAAUACGUUCCCGGGCCUUGUACACACCGCCCGUCACACCAUGGGAGUCGGGGGCACCCGAAGCCGGUGGGCAAACCCUUUAUAGGGAUGCAGCCGUCGAAGGUGAACCCGAUGACUGGGGUGAAGUCGUAACAAGGUAACCGU